CGCUGGCGGCAUGCCUUACACAUGCAAGUCGAACGGCAGCACGGGUGCUUGCACCUGGUGGCGAGUGGCGAACGGGUGAGUAAUAUAUCGGAACGUACCUUAUUGUGGGGGAUAACGCAGCGAAAGCUGUGCUAAUACCGCAUAAUCCCUUAGGGGGAAAGUGUGGGACCUUCGGGCCACAUGCUAUCGGAUGCGCCUACGUGGGAUUAGCUAGUUGGUGAGGUAAUGGCUCACCAAGGCGACGAUCCCUAGCUGGUUUGAGAGGAUGAUCAGCCACACUGGAACUGAGACACGGUCCAGACUCCUACGGGAGGCAGCAGUGGGGAAUACUGGACAAUGGGCGCAAGCCUGAUCCAGCCAUGCCGCGUGUGUGAAGAAGGCCUUCGGGUUGUAAAGCACUUUCAGCGAGGAGGAAGAGGUGGUCGUGAAUAGCGGCUACCUUUGACGUUACUCGCAGAAGAAGCACCGGCUAACUCUGUG
rnacentral:rRNA from 1 species